UACGUAGGUGGCAAGCGUUAUCCGGAUUUACUGGGUGUAAAGGGCGUGUAGGCGGGAGUGCAAGUCAGAUGUGAAAACUAUGGGCUCAACCCAUAGCCUGCAUUUGAAACUGUACUUCUUGAGUGCUGGAGAGGCAAUCGGAAUUCCGUGUGUAGCGGUGAAAUGCGUAGAUAUACGGAGGAACACCAGUGGCGAAGGCGGCCACCUGGACCGGUAUUGACGCUGAGGCGCGAAAGCGUGGGGAGCAAACAGG
rnacentral:rRNA from 1 species